CAGUCGCCGCGGUAAUACGAAGGGUGCAAGCGUUAAUCGGAAUUACUGGGCGUAAGGCGUGCGUAGGCGGUUUGUUAAGUCUGUUGUGAAAUCCCCGGGCUCAACCUGGGAAUGGCAAUGGAUACUGGCAAGCUAGAGUGUGUCAGAGGAUGGUGGAAUUCCCGGUGUAGCGGUGAAAUGCGUAGAGAUCGGGAGGAACAUCAGUGGCGAAGGCGGCCAUCUGGGACAACACUGACGCUGAGACACGAAAGUGUGGGGAGCAAACAGGAUUAGAUACCCCUGUAGUCCCUGUCUCUUAUAC
rnacentral:rRNA from 1 species